rnacentral:rRNA from 1 species
CCCAGCUUGCUGGGUGGAUUAGUGGCGAACGGGUGAGUAACACGUGAGUAACCUGCCCUUAACUCUGGGAUAAGCCUGGGAAACUGCGUCUAAUACCGGAUAGGAGCGUCCACCGCAUGGUGGGUGUUGGAAAGAUUUAUCGGUUUUGGAUGGACUCGCGGCCUAUCAGCUUGUUGGUGAGGUAAUGGCUCACCAAGGCGACGACGGGUAGCCGGCCUGAGAGGGUGACCGGCCACACUGGGACUGAGACACGGCCCAGACUCCUACGGGAGGCAGCAGUGGGGAAUAUUGCACAAUGGGCGCAAGCCUGAUGCAGCGACGCCGCGUGAGGGAUGACGGCCUUCGGGUUGUAAACCUCUUUCAGUAGGGAAGAAGCGAAAGUGACGGUACCUGCAGAAGAAGCACCGGCUAACUACGUGCCAGCAGCCGCGGUAAUACGUAGGGUGCGAGCGUUAUCCGGGAAUUAUUGGGCGUAAAGAGCUCGUAGGCGGUUUGUCGCGUCUGUCGUGAAAGUCCGGGGCUUAACCCCGGAUCUGCGGUGGGUACGGGCAGACUAGAGUGCAGUAGGGGAGACUGGAAUUCCUGGUGUAGCGGUGGAAUGCGCAGAUAUCAGGAGGAACACCGAUGGCGAAGGCAGGUCUCUGGGCUGUAACUGACGCUGAGGAGCGAAAGCAUGGGGAGCGAACAGGAUUAGAUACCCUGGUAGUCCAUGCCGUAAACGUUGGGCACUAGGUGUGGGGACCAUUCCACGGUUUCCGCGCCGCAGCUAACGCAUUAAGUGCCCCGCCUGGGGAGUACGGCCGCAAGGCUAAAACUCAAAGGAAUUGACGGGGGCCCGCACAAGCGGCGGAGCAUGCGGAUUAAUUCGAUGCAACGCGAAGAACCUUACCAAGGCUUGACAUGUUCUCGAUCGCCGUAGAGAUACGGUUUCCCCUUUGGGGCGGGUUCACAGGUGGUGCAUGGUUGUCGUCAGCUCGUGUCGUGAGAUGUUGGGUUAAGUCCCGCAACGAGCGCAACCCUCGUUCCAUGUUGCCAGCACGUCGUGGUGGGGACUCAUGGGAGACUGCCGGGGUCAACUCGGAGGAAGGUGAGGACGACGUCAAAUCAUCAUGCCCCUUAUGUCUUGGGCUUCACGCAUGCUACAAUGGCCGGUACAAUGGGUUGCGAUACUGUGAGGUGGAGCUAAUCCCAAAAAGCCGGUCUCAGUUCGGAUUGGGGUCUGCAACUCGACCCCAUGAAGUCGGAGUCGCUAGUAAUCGCAGAUCAGCAACGCUGCGGUGAAUACGUUCCCGGGCCUUGUACACACCGCCCGUCAAGUCACGAAAGUCGGUAACACCCGAAGCCGGUGGCCUAACC